rnacentral:tRNA from 1 species
GGAGAGAUGGCAGAGUGGUCGAUUGCGGCAGUCUUGAAAACUGUUGAGGUGAAAGCCUCCGGGGGUUCGAAUCCCUCUCUCUCCG